GAAUUUUGGACAAUGGGGGCAACCCUGAUCCAGCCAUGCCGCGUGCGGGAAGAAGGCCUUCGGGUUGUAAACCGCUUUUAGUCGGAAAGAAAAGGCACGGGAGAAUACCCUGUGUCCUUGACGGUACCGGCGGAAUAAGCACCGGCUAACUACGUGCCAGCAGCCGCGGUAAUACGUAGGGUGCGAGCGUUAAUCGGAAUUACUGGGCGUAAAGCGUGCGCAGGCGGUUCGUUGUGUCCUGUGUGAAAGCCCCGGGCUUAACCUGGGAAUGGCAUGGGAAACUGGCGGACUUGGAGUGUGGCGGAGGGGGGUGGAAUUCCGCGUGUAGCAGUGAAAUGCGUAGAGAUGCGGAGGAACACCGAUGGCGAAGGCAGCCCCCUGGGCCAACACUGACGCUCAGGCACGAAAGCGUGGGGAGCAAAC
rnacentral:rRNA from 1 species